AGAGUUUGAUCAUGGCUCAGGACGAACGCUGGCGGCGUGCUUAACACAUGCAAGUCGAGCGGUAAGGCUCCUUCGGGAGUACACGAGCGGCGAACGGGUGAGUAACACGUGAGCAAUCUGCCCUUCACAUCGGGAUAACUUCGGGAAACCGAAGCUAAUACCGAAUAUGACCAUCGAUGGCAUCAUCCGAUGGUGGAAAGUUCCGGCGGUGAAGGAUGAGCUCGCGGCCUAUCAGCUUGUUGGUGGGGUAAUGGCCUACCAAGGCGACGACGGGUAGCCGGCCUGAGAGGGUGACCGGCCACACUGGGACUGAGACACGGCCCAGACUCCUACGGGAGGCAGCAGUGGGGAAUAUUGGACAAUGGGCGAAAGCCUGAUCCAGCAACGCCGCGUGAGGGAUGACGGCCUUCGGGUUGUAAACCUCUUUCAGCAGGGACGAAGCGAAAGUGACGGUACCUGCAGAAGAAGCACCGGCCAACUACGUGCCAGCAGCCGCGGUAAUACGUAGGGUGCAAGCGUUGUCCGGAAUCAUUGGGCGUAAAGGGCUCGUAGGCGGUCCAUCACGUCGGGAGUGAAAAGCUGGGGCUCAACCCCAGUCUUGCUUCCGAUACGGGUGGACUAGAGGUAGGCAGGGGAGAAUGGAAUUCCUGGUGUAGCGGUGAAAUGCGCAGAUAUCAGGAGGAACACCGGUGGCGAAGGCGGUUCUCUGGGCCUUACCUGACGCUGAGGAGCGAAAGCGUGGGGAGCAAACAGGAUUAGAUACCCCAGUAGUCC
rnacentral:rRNA from 1 species